CCUACGGGGAGCAGCAGUGGGGAAUAUUGGGCAAUGGGCGCAAGCCUGACCCAGCAAUGCCGCGUGAAGGAAGAAGGCUUUUGGGUUGUAAACUUCUUUGACAGGGGAAGAGCAGAAGACGGUACCCUGAAAACAAGCCACGGCUAACUACGUGCCAGCAGCCGCGGUAAUACGUAGGUGGCAAGCGUUGUCCGGAUUUACUGGGUGUAAAGGGCGUGUAGCCGGGAAGGCAAGUCAGAUGUGAAAUCUGGAGGCUCAACCUCCAAAUUGCAUUUGAAACUGUUUUUCUUGAGUACUGGAGAGGCAGACGGAAUUCCUUGUGUAGCGGUGAAAUGCGUAGAUAUAAGGAGGAACACCAGUGGCGAAGGCGGUCUGCUGGUCAGCAACUGACGGUGAGGCGCGAAAGCGUGGGGAGCAAACAGGAUUAGAUACCAUUGUAGUC
rnacentral:rRNA from 1 species